rnacentral:rRNA from 1 species
AGAGUUUGAUCCUGGCUCAGGAUGAACGCUAGCUACAGGCUUAACACAUGCAAGUCGAGGGGCAGCAUGGUCUUAGCUUGCUAAGGCUGAUGGCGACCGGCGCACGGGUGAGUAACACGUAUCCAACCUGCCGUCUACUCUUGGCCAGCCUUCUGAAAGGAAGAUUAAUCCAGGAUGGGAUCACGAGUUCACAUGUCCGCAUGAUUAAAGGUAUUUUCCGGUAGACGAUGGGGAUGCGUUCCAUUAGAUAGUAGGCGGGGUAACGCCACUAGUCAACGAUGGAUAGGGGUUCUGGAGAGGAACGGUCCCCCANAUUGGAACUGAGACACGGUCCAAACUCCGUACGGGAGCA